rnacentral:misc_RNA from 1 species
UCACUACUUGCGUAGGCAGUCCAUUUAGAGUGCCCAGCAUGACCUGAUGGCAACACAGGACGAGGGUUGCGCUCGUUGCGGGACUUAACCCAACACCUCACGGCACGAGCUGACGACAGCCAUGCAGCACCUGUGCACCAGCCCCGAAGGGAAAUUCCAUUUCUGGAACGGUCUAGUGCAUGUCAAGUCUGGGUAAGGUUCUUCGCGUUGCAUCGAAUUAAACCACAUGCUCCACUGCUUGUGCGGGUCCCCGUCAAUUCUUUUGAGUUUCACCCUUGCGAGCGUACUCCCCAGGCGGUAUACUUAUCGCGUUUGCUACGGCACAACCAGGGUUGAGUCCGGUUACACCAAGUAUACAUAGUUUACGGCAAGGACUAC